UACGUAGGGUGCAAGCGUUGUCCGGAAUUAUUGGGCGUAAAGAGCUCGCAGGCGGUUUGUUGCGUCGGCUGUGAAAUCCCGAGGCUCAACCUCGGGUCUGCAGUCGAUACGAGCAAACUAGAGUGUUGCAGGGGAGACUGGAAUUCCUGGUGUAGCGGUGAAAUGCGUAGAGAUCGUGAGGAAGACCAGUGGCGAAGGCGGGUCUCUGGACAGUUCCUGACACUGAGGCACGAAGGCCAGGGGAGCAAACGGG
rnacentral:rRNA from 1 species